rnacentral:rRNA from 1 species
GAUGAACGCUGGCGGCGUGCCUAAUACAUGCAGGUCGAGCGUACAGACGAGGAGCUUGCUCCUCUGACGUUAGCGGCGGACGGGUGAGUAACACGUGGAUAACCUACCUAUAAGACUGGGAUAACUUCGGGAAACCGGAGCUAAUACCGGAUAAUAUAUUGAACCGCAUGGUUCAAUAGUGAAAGACGGUUUUGCUGUCACUUAUAGAUGGAUCCGCGCCGCAUUAGCUAGUUGGUAAGGUAACGGCUUACCAAGGCAACGAUGCGUAGCCGACCUGAGAGGGUGAUCGGCCACACUGGAACUGAGACACGGUCCAGACUCCUACGGGAGGCAGCAGUAGGGAAUCUUCCGCAAUGGGCGAAAGCCUGACGGAGCAACGCCGCGUGAGUGAUGAAGGUCUUCGGAUCGUAAAACUCUGUUAUUAGGGAAGAACAAAUGUGUAAGUAACUAUGCACGUCUUGACGGUACCUAAUCAGAAAGCCACGGCUAACUACGUG